CCUACGGGUGGCAGCAGUGGGGAAUAUUGGGCAAUGGGCGCAAGCCUGACCCAGCAACGCCGCGUGAAGGCAGAAGGCUUUCGGGUUGUAAACUUCUUUUGUCAGGGAUGAGAAGAUGACGGUACCUGACAAAGAAACCCCGGCUAACUACGUGCCAGCCGCCGCGGUAAUACGUAGGGGGCAAGCGUUAUCCGGAGUGACUGGGUGUAAAGGGGGCGCAGACGGCCAUGCAAGCCCGGCGUGAAAGCCCGGGGCCCAACCCCGGGACUGCCCUUGAAACUGCUUGGCUGGAGUACAGGAGGGGCAGGCGGAAUUCCUAGUGUAGCGGUGAAAUGCGUAGAUAUUAGGAGGAACACCGGUGGCGAAGGCGGCCUGCUGGACUGUAACUGACGUUGAGGCCCGAAGGCGUGGGGAGCAAACAGGAUUAGAUACCCGAGUAGUC
rnacentral:rRNA from 1 species